UCCCAGACUCCUACGGGAGGCAGCAGUCGGGAAUAUUGCACAAUGGAGGAAACUCUGAUGCAGUGACACCGCGUAUAGGAAGAAGGUUUUCGGAUUGUAAACUAUUUUAGACAGGGAAGAAAAAAGACAGUACCUGUAGAAUAAGCUCCGGCUAACUCCGUGCCAGCAGCCGCGGUAAUACGGAGGGUGCAAGCGUUACUCGGAAUCACUGGGCGUAAAGAGUGCGUAGGCGGGGUAAUAAGUCAGAUGUGAAAUCCUGUAGCUUAACUACAGAACUGCAUUUGAAACUGUUACUCUGGAGUGUGGGAGAGGUAGGUGGAAUUCUUGGUGUAGGGGUAAAAUCCGUAGAGAUCAAGAGGAAUACUCAUUGCGAAGGCGACCUGCUGGAACAUUACUGACGCUGAUGCACGAAAGCGUGGGGAGCAAACAGGAUUAGAUACCCGAGUAA
rnacentral:rRNA from 1 species